UGGGGAAUAUUGGGCAAUGGGCGCAAGCCUGACCCAGCAACGCCGCGUGAAGGAAGAAGGCUUUCGGGUUGUAAACUUCUUUUCUUAGGGACGAAGCAAGUGACGGUACCUAAGGAAUAAGCCACGGCUAACUACGUGCCAGCAGCCGCGGUAAUACGUAGGUGGCAAGCGUUAUCCGGAUUUACUGGGUGUAAAGGGCGUGUAGGCGGGAUUGCAAGUCAGAUGUGAAAACCACGGGCUCAAACCUGUGGCCUGCAUUUGAAAACUGUAGUUCUUGAGUACUGGAGAGGCAGACGGAAUUCCUAGUGUAGCG
rnacentral:rRNA from 1 species